CCCAAGCCAAUCAGAAUCCGCCGCUUUCCACCUUCACUGACGGCGGAGGGCUGGAGGGCAGCGACGCUGGACACCUAGGAAGCUGACCACCACGACACGUGAUCUUGUGAAGAAACUUGGGGCCUGCCUCUUGGAGAAAGAGAGAAUAUGUUAGAGCCAGAACAAAUCACCAGACAUGUGAAUGAAGUCAUCUUUAAGACACCAGACUCAAUCAAGGCAUACACCUUUCAGUACUGACAAGAAGGCUGGCGUCACAUUUGGGCAAUGUCUCAAGAGCUGUCUGAAGACUCACUGAACAUCAAGUCUUUGAAAACACGUUUCCUUCUCAAUGGAAAUAUAAUCACCCCCUGAUGUUCUUCAAAAGAAACAGAGUUCUGAUCUGAAAAUCAGAUGGUUUAUAGUAUUAGGAAGAAAACAAUAAAUUUGAAAGUAUAAUCAAUUGGAAAGCAAAAGGGAAAGCCAUAGAAAACAUUUAUCUCAAGAACUUGGUGCUGAGGAUAAUCUCAAAUUCAUUUAGUGCAUUUUGUUAAAGAAAAAAAAAACUUGAAAGGAUAAAUCCUUCUUACAGUGUAUUUUUCCUUAUAAAACAUGAACUGAAGUUACUGGUAAUAAACAGUGACUGUUUCAAUGUUAGGGUUCAUUAUUAACAAUGUCAAAACAUGACAGCAGCAAUCUUUAAGAACCCAAAUUAGACCAAGAUAGGACUACAAAAAAUCUGAUGUUUCCAUUGGUAAAGUGCCCCUUUUCUUACUUUAAAUGAAAAGAAAAUUAAUUAAUCAUCAGGCACUAGCAACCAUCAUUUUGAGAGGUCUUUUAGGGCAAAAAUUGAAUAGUAUGAAGAGGUUUACAAAAAUAGAUUAAGAAAUAAUACUGUAAUUUUUUCUCAAUUCAGUUUUGAUAAAUUGUACCUAAUCAUACAAAAUCAUACAAAAAU